rnacentral:rRNA from 1 species
UACGAAGGGGGGCUAGCGUUGUUCGGAAUUACUGGGCGUAAAGCGCGCGCAGGCGGCUAUCCAAGUCAGUGGUGAAAGCCCGGAGCUCAACUCCGGAACUGCCAUUGAAACUGUUUAGCUUGAGGACGAGAGAGGUGAGUGGAAUUCCCAGUGUAGAGGUGAAAUUCGUAGAUAUUGGGAAGAACACCAGUGGCGAAGGCGACUUACUGGACACAUAUUGACGCUGAGGUGCGAAAGCGUGGGGAGCAAACAGG